CCUUAGAGUUUGGAUCCCUGGCUCAGGAUGAACGCUAGCGGGAGGCCUAACACAUGCAAGCCGAGCGGUAUGGAUCUUUCGGGAUCCAGAGAGCGGCGUACGGGUGCGGAACACGUGUGCAACCUGCCUUUAUCAGGGGGAUAGCCUUUCGAAAGGAAGAUUAAUACCCCAUAAUAUUUAGAAUGGCAUCAUUUUAAAUUGAAAACUCCGGUGGAUAGAGAUGGGCACGCGCAAGAUUAGAUAGUUGGUGAGGUAACGGCUCACCAAGUCUGCGAUCUUUAGGGGGCCUGAGAGGGUGAUCCCCCACACUGGUACUGAGACACGGACCAGACUCCUACGGGAGGCAGCAGUGAGGAAUAUUGGACAAUGGGUGCGAGCCUGAUCCAGCCAUCCCGCGUGAAGGAUGACGGCCCUAUGGGUUGUAAACUUCUUUUGUAUAGGGAUAAACCUUUCCUCGUGAGGGAAGCUGAAGGUACUAUACGAAUAAGCACCGGCUAACUCCGUGCCAGCAGCCGCGGUAAUACGGAGGGUGCAAGCGUUAUCCGGAUUUAUUGGGUUUAAAGGGUCCGUAGGCGGAUCUGUAAGUCAGUGGUGAAAUCUCACAGCUUAACUGUGAAACUGCCAUUGAUACUGCAGGUCUUGAGUGUUGUUGAAGUAGCUGGAAUAAGUAGUGUAGCGGUGAAAUGCAUAGAUAUUACUUAGAACACCAAUUGCGAAGGCAGGUUACUAAGCAACAACUGACGCUGAUGGACGAAAGCGUGGGGAGCGAACAGGAUUAGAUACCCUGGUAGUCCACGCCGUAAACGAUGCUAACUCGUUUUUGGUAUUUCGGUAUCAGAGACUAAGCGAAAGUGAUAAGUUAGCCACCUGGGGAGUACGUUCGCAAGAAUGAAACUCAAAGGAAUUGACGGGGGCCCGCACAAGCGGUGGAUUAUGUGGUUUAAUUCGAUGAUACGCGAGGAACCUUACCAAGGCUUAAAUGGGAAAUGACAGGUUUAGAAAUAGACUUUUCUUCGGACAUUUUUCAAGGUGCUGCAUGGUUGUCGUCAGCUCGUGCCGUGAGGUGUUAGGUUAAGUCCUGCAACGAGCGCAACCCCUGUCACUAGUUGCCAUCAUUAAGUUGGGGACUCUAGUGAGACUGCCUACGCAAGUAGAGAGGAAGGUGGGGAUGACGUCAAAUCAUCACGGCCCUUACGCCUUGGGCCACACACGUAAUACAAUGGCCGGUACAGAGGGCAGCUACACAGCGAUGUGAUGCAAAUCUCGAAAGCCGGUCUCAGUUCGGAUUGGAGUCUGCAACUCGACUCUAUGAAGCUGGAAUCGCUAGUAAUCGCGCAUCAGCCAUGGCGCGGUGAAUACGUUCCCGGGCCUUGUACACACCGCCCGUCAAGCCAUGGAAGUCUGGGGUACCUGAAGUCGGUGACCGUAACAGGAGCUGCCUAGGGUAAAACAGGUAACUAGGGCUAAGUCGUAACAAGGUAACCAUA
rnacentral:rRNA from 1 species